rnacentral:rRNA from 1 species
GUUUGAUCCUGGCUCAGAAUCAACGCUGGCGGCGUGCCUAACACAUGCAAGUCGCACGAGAAAGCGGGAGCAAUCCUGUGAGUAAAGUGGCGUACGGGUGAGUAACACGUGAAUCAUCUACCUUCGAGUGUGGAAUAACUGAGAGAAAUCUUAGCUAAUACCUCAUAACACCUACGGGUCAAAGCAGCAAUGCGCUUGAAGAGGAGUUCGCGGCAGAUUAGUUAGUUGGCGGGGUAAUGGCCCACCAAGACGAUGAUCUGUAUCCGGCCUGAGAGGGCGCACGGACACACUGGAACUGAAACACGGUCCAGACUCCCACGGGAGGCAGCAGUGGGGAAUUUUGCGCAAUGGGGGAAACCCUGACGCAGCAACGCCGCGUGGAGGAUGAAAUCCCUUGGGAUGUAAA